rnacentral:rRNA from 1 species
GACGAACGCUGGCGGCGUGCUUAACACAUGCAAGUCGAACGAUGAACCCGGAGCUUGCUCCGGUGGAUUAGUGGCGAACGGGUGAGUAACACGUGAGUAACCUGCCCUUGACUCUGGGAUAACUGCGGGAAACUGUAGCUAAUACCGGAUACGACCCUCGGCGGCAUCGCCAGGGGGUGGAAAGAAUUUCGGUCAAGGAUGGACUCGCGGCCUAUCAGCUAGUUGGUGAGGUAACGGCUCACCAAGGCGACGAGGGGGAGCCGGCCUGGGAGGGUGACCGGCCAAACUCGGACUGGGGCACGGCGCAGACUCCUGCGGGAGGCAGCAGGUGGGAAUAUUGAACAUUGGGCGCAAGGCUGAUGCAGCAACGCCGCGUGAGGGAUGACGGCCUUCGGGUUGUAAACCUCUUUUAGUAGGGAAGAAGCGAAAGUGACGGUACCUGCAGAAAAAGCACCGGCUAACUACGUGCCAGCCGCCGCGGUAA